AUUGAACGCUGGCGGCAGGCCUAACACAUGCAAGUCGAGCGGAUGAGUGGAGCUUGCUCCAUGAUUCAGCGGCGGACGGGUGAGUAAUGCCUAGGAAUCUGCCUGGUAGUGGGGGACAACGGUUCGAAAGGAACGCUAAUACCGCAUACGUCCUACGGGAGAAAGCAGGGGACCUUCGGGCCUUGCGCUAUCAGAUGAGCCUAGGCCGGAUUAGCUAGUUGGUGAGGUAAAGGCUCACCAAGGCGACGAUCCGUAACUGGUCUGAGAGGAUGAUCAGUCACACUGGAACUGAGACACGGUCCAGACUCCUACGGGAGGCAGCAGUGGGGAAUAUUGGACAAUGGGCGAAAGCCUGAUGCAGCCAUGCCGCGUGUGUGAAGAAGGUCUUCGGAUUGUAAGGCACUUUAAGUUGGGAGGAAGGGCAGUAAGUUAAUACCUUGCUGUUUUGACGUUACCGACAGAAUAAGCACCGGCUAACUUCGUGCCAACCGCCGCCGUAACAC
rnacentral:rRNA from 1 species